UGCUAUAAUUUACAUGUUGAUUAUUGAAUCUUGGUCUUCCAUUUAUUUGAAAAUAAAAUUCAUAUCUUAGUUAUUUAAUAAUAAUAACCUCAAAGUUUAUGACAGCCAGUUUCAUAACAUUGCUAGUGGUAGAGAUUAUUAGUUAGGUUUUAUCAGAUAGUGCACCUCUUAAUAAUCUGACAGCAGAAAAAAUAACAAAAUAUGAAAAAAUAUGACAAUUUUGCACAUGCUUUAAGAAUACGAGCUGUGAGUGCACUUAGUUAACUGUGAAGUCUAAAAUUGAAUAUUAAACAUAAUUGAAAAACGACAUAGAAAAUGAGCGACUGUUUCUUGAUUGCUGAUCAAUACUUUUCAAAGUCAGAUUCGAUGUCACUUCAUUCCACAUCGGCAAAAUUGAUUGUGGAAAAUCCUUUAUGGGAGCAAAAUACGUUCGUUGGUCGGUUCCGUCACUUCUUAUGGAUGACCGAUUGGCGAUCCUGUUUUGCUUCAGAACGUGAUCUCGAUAAAGCAGAAGAGUUGAUAAAAAA